UGAAAGGCUCUCACGAUGGAAACGUCGCGGGGGCUUUUUUCUUUUGC
rnacentral:antisense_RNA from 1 species